rnacentral:rRNA from 1 species
GACGAACGCUGGCGGCGUGCCUAACACAUGCAAGUCGAACGAUGAAGUAGGGACACGCGGCCUUCGGCUCAAUUAUCACUUGGGAUUAGCCGCAGAGGUGUGAGUAACUCGCGGACAAGCUUCCUCUUACAAAGGGAUAGCCUCGGGCAAACGAGAUUUCGACCAUCUGUCACCUUCAGUAGGCAUCUUUAGAUUGUUAAAGCUAGGACGGGCAGGGAUGGGAUCCCUUCCUAUUAGCUAGUUGGUAGGGUAAACGCCCACCAAAGCGACGAUGGAUAACCGGGAUGAGAGGAUGAACGGUCACACUGGAACUGAGACACGGUCCAGACUCCUACGGGAGGCAGCAGUGGGGAAUAUUGCACAAUGGAGGGAACUCUGAUGCAGCGAGGCCGCGUGAGCGAUGAAGGCAUUCGGGUCGUAAAGCUCUGUUAUCUGGGAAGAUAAUGACGGUACCGGAAGAGAAAGCCCCGGCUAACUACGUG